rnacentral:rRNA from 1 species
UUAAAUUGAAGAGUUUGAUCAUGGCUCAGAUUGAACGCUGGCGGCAGGCCUAACACAUGCAAGUCGAACGGUAACAGGAAGAAGCUUGCUUCUUUGCUGACGAGUGGCGGACGGGUGAGUAAUGUCUGGGAAACUGCCUGAUGGAGGGGGAUAACUACUGGAAACGGUAGCUAAUACCGCAUAACGUCGCAAGACCAAAGAGGGGGACCUUCGGGCCUCUUGCCAUCGGAUGUGCCCAGGUGGGAUUAGCUUGUUGGUGGGGUAACGGCUCACCAAGGCGACGAUCCCUAGCUGG